AACGAACGCUGGCGGCGUGCCUAACACAUGCAAGUCGAACGGGAUUCGGAGCUUGCUCCGAUGAGAGUGGCGCACGGGUGAGUAACGCGUAGAUAAUCUGCCUGAUGAUCUGGGAUAACAGUUCGAAAGGACUGCUAAUACCGGAUAAGCCCACGGAGACCUUGGUCUUUGCGGGAAAAGGGGGGGACUUUCGGGCCUUCAGUCAUCAGAUGAGUCUGCGUACCAUUAGCUAGUUGGUAGGGUAAAGGCCUACCAAGGCGACGAUGGUUAGCGGGUCUUAGAGGAUGAUGAGCCGCAGUGGCAGAGAGACACGGUCCAGACUCCUACGGGGGGCAGCAGUGGGGAAUUUUGCUAAAUGGGGGAACCCCUGACGCAGCAACGCUGCGUGAGUGGUGAAGGCUUCUGGGUCGUAAAGCUCUGACAGAGGGAAAGAAGUGUAUGGUGGUUAAUACCCAUUGUACUUGACGGUACCCUCAAAGGAAGCACCGGCUAACUCCGUGCCAGCAGCCGCGGUAACAC
rnacentral:rRNA from 1 species